rnacentral:ncRNA from 2 species
CCCUUAUCAAGAGUGGCGGAGGGAACAGGCCCGAUGAUGUCCGGCAACCCGCGCAGCCCGUUUUGGCUGGGUAGGGUGCCAAAUCCUGCGGUGAAGCCGAUAGAUGAGGU